rnacentral:rRNA from 1 species
GUUGAACGCUAGCUACCGGCUUAACACAUUCAAGUCGAGGGACCGGCGCACGGGUGAGUAACACGUAUCCAACCUGCCCUUUACUCGGGGCUAGCCUUUCGUAAGAACGAUUAAUACCCGAUAUAAAGGAUGGUGAUGCGUUCCUUUUGUUUGUUGGUGAGGUAAUAUCCCACCAAGUCUUCCAUGGAUCGUGGUACUGAGAGGAAGGUCCCCCAGAUUGGAAGUGAGACACCGUCCAUACUCCUACGCGAGGCAGCAGUGCGGAAUAUUGGUCAAUGGGCGGUAACCUGAACCAGCCAAGUAGCGUGAAGGAUGAAGGCUUAUGGGUCGUAAACUUGUUGUAUAUAAGAAUAUGUAUUAUAUGAAUAAUGAUCGGCUAACUCCGUGCCAGCAGCCGCGGUAAUUC